rnacentral:rRNA from 1 species
GAUGAACGCUAGCUACAGGCUUAACACAUGCAAGUCGCGGGGCAGCAUUUUCUUAGCUUGCUAAGGAAGAUGGCGACCGGCGCACGGGUGAGUAACGCGUAUCCAACCUUCCCAUGUCCACGGGAUAGCCCGUCGAAAGGCGGAUUAAUACCGUAUGAGGUCACAUGCGGGCAUCUAAGUGUGACGAAAGGUUUGGCGGACAUGGAUGGGGAUGCGUCCGAUUAGCUAGUUGGCGGGGUAACGGCCCACCAAGGCGACGAUCGGUAGGGGUUCUGAGAGGAAGGUCCCCCACAUUGGAACUGAGACACGGUCCAAACUCCUACGGGAGGCAGCAGUGAGGAAUAUUGGUCAAUGGACGUAAGUCUGAACCAGCCAAGUAGCGUGCAGGAUGACGGCCCUAUGGGUUGUAAACUGCUUUUAUGCGGGGAUAAAGUGUGGGACGUGUCCCAUAUUGCAGGUACUGCAUGAAUAAGGACCGGCUAAUUCCGUGCCAGCAGCCG